ensembl:lncRNA
CAGCCUCCACUGGUAGAUGUUGAUAGAUAGUGUUCCAGGGAUGCAUUGAGGAAUUGGUCUGAAGAUGUAGUAGAGAACUCUCUUUAUGGAUGAACUCAUACAGAAUGUUCUUCUCCUUUGCUGAUAUUAUCACACAAGCUCUUGCAUGGAGCAGACAGGAGAAGCGUGUGCGUGCUUGAAUGCGCUAUGAACUGCCCUUUUCUCUCCAUAACUCACCCCCGUAGCCUGUUAAUGCCCUCUAGCAUGCUAUGAUGCCCAAACUAUAGUAUAAAGACCCAUAGAUGUAUAGACUAUGCAUACGAUGUAUGGAACACUCUACAGCUCUAAAUCUGCAAAUAAACAGUACUUGAAUACUCUUAUUAUUCUGUUCUGUGUUUACUAAAUGUGUGGGAUGAUGGAUCAUCAAGUGGAACUAGGGGGCCGCGACUCUGAAAAGUAAACAAAAUAUACACUGGAGGCUAAAGGCACCUUCUCUCCAUAUCCUGCUCUCCCGACUCCCCACCUUGUCUGACUUUGGCUACUACGAUACUGAAGUAUGAAGCACCAUACAUUUCCAUGUCCCCCUCUUCCCUCCCCCUCCCCCCAUGUUUGAUAAUGGACCACUUAGCGUGAUGUGUAUCCUGGAAUGUCACUGUGUGAAGCGUCCCUAAGAAGCCCAUACAGCCAAUCUCUCCUCAACCAAUGUAAACAGGAAUGCAGCCUAUGAGAAGAGUCCCCUGUCCGUAAUACUUAUCUCCAUCCUGCGCCUCAGACUCCUGUACUAUAAAUACCCACACGGACACUGGUUUUUUUCAUCUCUCACUGUCUCACUGCUCUCUAGGAUUCAUACUGAGGAAUGUAAACUGUGUGUGUGUGUGUGUAUGUGUGUCUGUGUGUGUGUGAGACAGAUGGGUCCGGGGAUGUUGGAGGCUGAAGCGAGGGAGCUCGUCUCUGGAGGUCCCGCUCUGGGCUUUGGAAGCGGCAGAAACGAAAGAACGGAGAAAAAAAAGACAGAAGGAAGGAAACAACAAGAUGAGGAGAGGAAGGAAAACCAGAAUAAAGAUGGCGUGGGCCACGAGAACGACAGAAUGAAAGAACACAUGCUGGCAGACGAGUGCAUCUGUGGAGGAACAAGGGGAGGGAGCAGAAGGAUGGGAAAAGAGAGAGGGAGGGAGAUGAUGGAGAGGGAGACCAGGGAUGCAGAGCGAGAGAAGGAUGAUGAGGCCCUGUGUUCUGUUCUAGUUAUGUCAUGUCCUGACUUCACUUGUUACUUGUCAGAUUGGCUUCUGUCACCCUUUUGUCACUUUGCCUCAUUUUUUUUCUCUCCCUCAAAUGCCUGUUCUCCUCUCUGCCUCUCUCUUUCCAUCCCCAGCCAAUGGUUUGUGAGGCAGGUUAGGGACGCUUCUACCCUUCUGCAGUUCUUCCUCUGUACUGUAUCUCUGUCUCCCUCCCCAUUCGCCUGUCAUAUUCAGCUCGCUCUCACUCUCAUUUUGGAAGUGGUCACAUAUGGCAAAUGCUUCUCUAGCUCCUUCUCUCAUUCCCACCCCGCCCUCUCCCUUCCUUCUGUUCCUCGUAGAAAGAAACUUGCAGACAAAGAGAGAUGCUGCUGUUGUUCCUUUCCUUUCCUCCUCAACUCCCUGCCUGUCCCUGUUAUUGUGAGUUAA